GCUCAACCGGGGAGGGUCAUUGGAAACUGGGGAACUUGAGUGCAGAAGAGGAGAGUGGAAUUCCACGUGUAGCGGUGAAAUGCGUAGAGAUGUGGAGGAACACCAGUGGCGAAGGCGACUCUCUGGUCUGUAACUGACGCUGAGGCGCGAAAGCGUGGGGAGCGAACAGGAUUAGAUACCCUGGUAGUCCACGCCGUAAACGAUGAGUGCUAAGUGUUAGAGGGUUUCCGCCCUUUAGUGCUGCAGCAAACGCAUUAAGCACUCCGCCUGGGGAGUACGGUCGCAAGACUGAAACUCAAAGGAAUUGACGGGGGCCCGCACAAGCGGUGGAGCAUGUGGUUUAAUUCGAAGCAACGCGAAGAACCUUACCAGGUCUUGACAUCCUCUGACAACCCUAGAGAUAGGGCUUCCCCUUCGGGGCAGAGUGACAGGUGGUGCAUGGUUGUCGUCAGCUCGUGUCGUGAGAUGUUGGGUUAAGUCCCGCAACGAGCGCAACCCUUGAUCUUAGUUGCCAGCAUUCAGUUGGGCACUCUAAGGUGACUGCCGGUGACAAACCGGAGGAAGGUGGGGAUGACGUCAAAUCAUCAUGCCCCUUAUGACCUGGGCUACACACGUGCUACAAUGGGCAGAACAAAG
rnacentral:rRNA from 1 species